rnacentral:rRNA from 1 species
AUUGAACGCUAGCGGCAGGCCUAACGCAUGCAAGUCGAGCGGCAGCGGAAGGAAGCUUGCUUUCUUGCCGGCGAGCGGCGGACGGGUGAGUAAGGUAUGGGGAUCUGGCCGAAGGCGGGGGAUAACCACUGGAAACGGUGGCUAAUACCGCAUAAUCUCUAAGGAGCAAAGUGGGGGACCGUUCAGGCCUCACACCUUCGGAUGAACCCAUAUGAGAUUAGCUAGUAGGUGGGGUAUGGCUCACCUAUGCGACGAUCUCUAGCUGGUCUGAGAGGAUGGUCAGCCACACGGGGAGUGAGACACGGCCCAGACUGCUAGGGGAGGCAGCAGUGGGGAAUAUUGCACAAUGGGCGCAAGCCUGAUGCAGCAAUGCGGCGUGUAUGAAGAAGGCCUUCGGGUUGUAAAGUACAUUCAGUCGUGAGGAGGGUGUUAAGGUUAAUAACCUUAGCAAUUGACGUUAGCGACAGAAGAAGCACCGGCUAACUCCGUGCCAGCCGCAGCCGUAA